GAUGAACGCUGGCGGCGUGCCUAAUACAUGCAAGUCGAGCGAACGGACGAGAAGCUUGCUUCUCUGAUGUUAGCGGCGGACGGGUUAGUAACACGUGGAUAACCUACCUUUAAGACUGGGAUAACUUCGGGAAACCGGAUCUAAUACCGGAUAAUAUUUUGAACCGCAUGGUUCAAAAGUGAACGACGUUCUUGCUGUCACUUAUAGAUGGAUCCGCGCUGCAUUAGCUAGUUGGUAAGGUAACGGCUUACCAAGGCAACGAUGCAUAGCCGACCUGAGAGGGUGAUCGGCCACACUGGAACUGAGACACGGUCCAGACUCCUACGGGAGGCAGCAGUAGGGAAUCUUCCGCAAUGGGCGAAAGCCUGACGGAGCAACGCCGCGUGAGUGAUGAAGGUCUUCGGAUCGUAAAACUCUGUUAUUAGGGAAGAACAUAUGUGUAAGUAACUGUGCACAUCUUGACGGUACCUAAUCAGAAAGCCACGGCUAACUACGUG
rnacentral:rRNA from 1 species